UGUUACUUCUCUGUUACUACCAGGAGCUAGUGUCUGACUUUUCCCUUCGAAACUAAUUCCUUAUUGAUCAGGGCAAAUCUUAACAUGUGCCUGCGAACAUAGUCAGCGGCUCAUGCACUAAGAUAGCAAGGUAUGACGGGAGUUAUUCAACCGACGCAGGCGGGAAAGUCGAAAAACACGAAAAUCAAAACAUUUUGUUGAUUUUCUCGCUUCAACAAAGGAAAAAUCUUGAACAGAUCAAUCCAUUGACUAGCGAUUGUCCAGUUCCGUGUCUACCGCAACUGAAAGUGUGUUUUGCGAGUAGUUGUGGCAAAUGUAAAGCUGAAAGGACUGGUCAAGCCAAGAUGGCGGCUGCCAAGGCUGCUCGAAGAAACACUUUUACAAACGAGUUGCAUCUUCCAAAUGAUCCAUUUCAAGAUCCACGCAUAGGAAGACGCACUGGAGUUCCUUUGAACAUUAAAGCCAGAAAAGACUCACAUGGGUUUGAGAACAUUGACGACUACUUUCCUGAUUCAGGUACAG